AGUAAAUUCCAUGAAUAGGUGCCAAUGCUACACUUCCUUAGCUAGGAGCUAGCAAUGCUACGUGGAAUUGCAUGUCGAAAAUAUUUAAAAAGUCAACCUGCCAUCUCUCCUGCCCUGCUCGUCCAAGUUCCCACUCUAGUUCCAGUACUGGCAGGCUUCACCACUAUAUCCCAGCAGGGUCCUGCUUGGCAUGUUCUCCCAGGUAUCUUCUGAGAGGUUGUUCUCUCUCCACUUCUCAUUCAAGUCUGAAGAUGCUUACAGUCACCUGCAGUACUUCUAAAUCAGAGUUUUGAGAUGGAAGAGGUCACAGCUCCAAUGAUCUCAGCCGAAGAAGAUGAGGAAGAAGACCAGCACAAGUGCUCUCCAAGGAAUGUCUUCCUGCCCGGUGUCCUGGACAACUGCCUGUCUUUAGAAUUAACAAAUGCUCUGACUUGCAGAGUCUCUCUCAAAUCAGCUUUUGCUGGUAUCAGGAUUUCUCUGGAGGACUCAACAAAGUCCUCUCCAUGCCUGAGAUUCCUACAAUGAUUGAAAUUCCAUUGUUUCUUCCCCGUGGAAUAACCAUAAGCUUCCUGAGGGAGUGCACCUCAGAGAGGCCUCGCCUGGGACUUGAAACAUCCAGCCCACUGUACGCUGUGGCAUUUGGACAGGUUCUUGCCUCGAGUUCCUGCUCUGCCUUCAUUUCACUAUACCUAGAAGCUGAAAUAAACUAUUUCCUCCACAA
rnacentral:lncRNA from 1 species